rnacentral:tRNA from 1 species
GGCGCGGUGGUGGAAUGGCAGACACGAAGGUCUCAAAAACCUUUGAUCGCAAGAUCAUGAGGGUUCGACUCCCUCCCGCGCCA